rnacentral:rRNA from 1 species
UUUAGAGUUUGAUCCUGGCUCAGGAUGAACGCUGGCGGCGUGCCUAAUACAUGCAAGUCGAACGAACUUCCGUUAAUUGAUUAUGACGUACUUGUACUGAUUGAGAUUUUAACACGAAGUGAGUGGCGAACGGGUGAGUAACACGUGGGUAACCUGCCCAGAAGUAGGGGAUAACACCUGGAAACAGAUGCUAAUACCGUAUAACAGAGAAAACCGCAUGGUUUUCUUUUAAAAGAUGGCUCUGCUAUCACUUCUGGAUGGACCCGCGGCGUAUUAGCUAGUUGGUGAGGUAAAGGCUCACCAAGGCAGUGAUACGUAGCCGACCUGAGAGGGUAAUCGGCCACAUUGGGACUGAGACACGGCCCAGACUCCUACGGGAGGCAGCAGUAGGGAAUCUUCCACAAUGGACGCAAGUCUGAUGGAGCAACGCCGCGUGAGUGAAGAAGGGUUUCGGCUCGUAAAGCUCUGUUGUUAAAGAAGAACGUGGGUAAGAGUAACUGUUACCCAGUGACGGUAU